rnacentral:misc_RNA from 2 species
AACGCACAUUGCGCCCACUAGUAUUCUGGUGGGCAUGCCUGUUCGAGCGUCAUUUCAACCCUCAAGCCUGGCUUGGUGUUGGGGCUCUGCGUCUGCAGUCCCUUAAAUCCAGUGGCGGACACGCUAGGUCUCCGAGCGCAGUAGUUUCUUCUCGCUCAGGACGGCCGGCGUGGGCUUGCCUCGCACCCAUCUUAUCAAGGUUGACCUCGGAUCAGGUAGGAAUACCCGCUGAACUUAA